GACGAACGCUGGCGGCGCGCUUAACACAUGCAAGUCGAACGGAAAGGCCUGCUUUCCCUUGUGGAUUGCGGGUACUCGCGUGGCGAACGGGUGAGUAACACGUGAGUGAUCUGCCCCCAACUUGGGUAUAAGCCUGGGAAACUGGGUCUAAUUCCCGAUAGGACUGCAGGGUGGUGCCUGUGGUGGAAAACGAUUUUCUAGUGGUUGGGGAUGAGCUCGCGGCCUAUCAGCUUGUUGGUGGGGUAAUGGCCUACCAAGGCGGCGACGGGUAGCCGGCCUGAGAGGGUGGACGGCCACAUUGGGACUGAGAUACGGCCCAGACUCCUACGGGAGGCAGCAGUGGGGAAUAUUGCACAAUGGGCGGAAGCCUGAUGCAGCGACGCCGCGGGGGGGAUGACGGCCUUCGGGUUGUAAACUCCUUUCGACCGCGAGGAAGCCACCUGGUUGGAAGGGUGGUGACGGUAGUGGUAGAAGAAGCACCGGCUAACUACGUG
rnacentral:rRNA from 1 species